rnacentral:SRP_RNA from 1 species
CUCCGGAAGCCGUGCAAUCACGCGGCCGCAAACCCCGCCAGGCCGGGAACGGAGCAACGGUAGUGGAUCGCUGAUGUGCCGCGGUAACUCCGGAGCCU